AUACGGAGGGGGCUAGCGUUGUUCGGAAUUACUGGGCGUAAAGCGCACGUAGGCGGAUCAGUCAGUCAGGGGUGAAAUCCCGGGGCUCAACCCCGGAACUGCCUUUGAUACUGCUGGUCUUGAGGUCGAGAGAGGUGAGUGGAAUUCCGAGUGUAGAGGUGAAAUUCGUAGAUAUUCGGAGGAACACCAGUGGCGAAGGCGGCUCACUGGCUCGAUACUGACGCUGAGGUGCGAAAGCGUGGGGAGC
rnacentral:rRNA from 1 species